rnacentral:lncRNA from 1 species
CAGGCAAGCACCUCUCACAGAGCCGCCCGGUGUGUCCUGGAGCACAGGCGCUGCACGUGGGCUGCCCGUCUGUGUCCUCAAAGCAGCUCUGGCUGUCAGUACGGGGACCGUGGCAUGGGCAGGGGCGGCAGUCGCCUGGGGUCCCGUGGGUGGCAUCGCCAUAGUAGCCAGGCUGGCACUUGUCACACUGAGCACCCUCCGUGUGGUCCCGGCAGCCCUGGCACUCGCCAGUCUCAGGGUGGCACUCAGUGGCGUGCCCAUGGCACUGACAGCGCUCACAGGUGCCCAGGUAUAGCCCGCUGGUGCUGCGUGUGUAGCCCACGUCGCAGUCCUGGCACGAGGGACCACGGUAGCCAGGGGGACAGGUGCAGUCUUCCACCUCCAGUGCCAGCGGCCGGCCAGUGGCAUGGGGCACGGCCACAUCCAGACGGACAUCGGCAAGCCUGCUCUCCGUUGGCUGCUCCGAGUAGGAUGCACGGAUCAUGAGGACAUCGAUGUCGGCCAGGGCCAUCAGGAGGUGCUCCCGGGUGGCAUCACGCCCAUCCGCUCUGCGCCAGGCGCGCUCGCGGAAGGGCACGGUGACGGUGGUGGGGACACCGAGCAUGGGGCUGGCAUCAGAAAAGUACUUGAGGGAGAUCCCAUUGCCUUGCAGCAGGACAUCGGGCUGGUGCUGCAGCAGCUGGGCACCUGCCGGUGCAUGGUGUGUCACCGUGUACUUCAGCUCGCCCCCAUACGACGUCACCUUGUCUCCAGUGAAGGAUGAGGGCAGCACCCAGAAGUAGACAUCACGAGGCAGCGUGUGGAAGUCUGAGAAGACGAGUUCCCUUGUGGCGGCAAAGCGUGAGCCCUCGAUUGCUGUCCUUGUGCCCGCCAGGUUGGCCAGGUGCAGCGGCGCCACCUCCUCAGAGGUGACACGGACCUGAUCACGGCUCCAGGAGGAGCUAGCGCACUGCCGAGAGACGCCCAUGCAGAAGCACUUGAGGCAGCCAUCAGGAUUGGCAUCGCUCAGGUGGAAGGUCCCCACGGCACACUCGUCACACUGCCGCCCUGUCACGUUGGGCUUGCAGCGGCACGUGCCGCCCACCGCGUCCUUGCCCCCACGUGCAUCGCACUUGAUGAGCUCCUGGCCGAUGCGGGUGCACUUGCCACCAGGCUGGAUGGGGUCUCCCUCAUACCCCGGGGCACACCUCUCACAGCGGCGACCAGCAUAGCCGGGGGCACAGGCAUCACAGGUGGCCUGGCCAUCUGUGUCCAGGAAGCACGACUCGGAGAACCUGCGGACCGUCUCAGUGUAGGGGCAGGGGCAGGGGCGGCAGGCAGUGGCUGUGCCCUGUGUGGCGUCACCGAAGAAGCCAGGUUUGCACUUCUCACACUGGGGACCCUCCGUGUUGUGCUGGCAGUUCAGGCAAUGCCCGUAGACCUGGUCGCAGGUGCUGGAGUGGCCAUGGCAGCUGCAGCCGGAGCACGUCCCCAGGUAGGGACCCUGCGGCACCCUCUCA